UACGAAGGUGGCAAGCGUUGUUCGGAUUUACUGGGCGUAAAACGUAUGUAGGCGGUUUAACAAGUAAGGAGUGAAAUCCCAGGGCUUAACCCUGGAAUUGCUUUUGAAACUGUCUUACUUGAAUCCGGUAGAGGUUGGCGGAAUUCCCAGUGUAGAGGUGAAAUUCGCAGAUAUUGGUAGGAACACCAGUGGCGUAAGCGGCCAACUGGACCGGUAUUGACGCUGAGGUACGAAAGCGUGGGUAGCAAACAGG
rnacentral:rRNA from 1 species